rnacentral:tRNA from 1 species
GCCUGGCUGGCUCAGUCAGCAGAGUAUGCGACUCUUGAUCUCGGGGUUGUGAGUUCGAGCCCCAUGCUGGGUG